rnacentral:snRNA from 1 species
AUUACUUCAUGGCUUUUAAACUAAGAUCAAUUGUAGUAUUUGCUCAUAACAAUUUAAUAUCUGAUAUAUCCUCUAUUUGAGGACAAUAUAUUCAAUGGAUUUUUUCAGUAAGAAGUUGGAAUAGGAACUUGA